UCAUCAGUAAGACUCAGGAGUUUCAAGCUUCUGGAGUGGAUUCUUCAGAUUUCCAGAAAACUAUUUUCUCCCAAAAAGUUGCACCAAGCAAAAAAUUACCUCAAUACACAAAUGGCAAGGAAAUCUUUUGAAGAAAAAAUUGCAAAUGUUUUGGCAUACAUAAGGAGUAGCACGUAUCCUGAAGGAAUGAAUAAAGCAGGCAGACUGAACCUGAGUCGAUAUGCUGUCAACUUUUCAUUGGAAGGCAAGGAAUGCUUCUUUUAAGAUAGUACUGACACAUAACAUGGGAAACUUCAGUCUGUAAAUGAUGGUCAUGAUGUCCUAACACUAGAUUAUUUGGAGUGUUAACCUUACCUUCAAUGGGACUGGAAUUGGGAUCUCUAUUUUUAUUAAAAUUUUCCAGAAAAUCUGUCGAUGCCAGUGGUGCAACAAAUGCAGUAUGCUGUGCAGUUGUGUGAGAAAUGAGUCUAAAUUUUAUUAAAAAAAACCCAUGACUUUGUUUCAUUUUUUAAUUAUGUUAUCCAGUCUGCUGCAAGCACUACCACCAAUCACUAUAUGUUCAAUGAUCCAAAAUUUCUAACUAUACACCAGGGCCACCCAGAGGAUUCUGGGGCUUGUGGUCUCUGGUGGCAAGGGGGGCCCCGCUUUGGCAGUCAUUCGGCUGUGGGAUGUCCUUCUGCCCCGGAGGAAGGACCCCCCACCG